CUAUGGAAGCCGCAAGAGGCACAUCAUCCUGGCCAGAAGAGCAGAGCAAAGCACCCAAUAAUGUUUUCCAGUGGAGCUGAUUUCCUGGCUCCCCCGUCACCCCCGCUUGGCUCAUUAAAACGUAUCUUUGAGUGACGAUGGCCGACGAGAGACUGACGUGGCUGGCUGUUUUAUCUCUCGAAAAUGCCAUUGGCCAGGCUUUGGAUCUCUGACCCUGUGCUUCAGUUCACGAGGGCAAAGGAAUAGCACAGCCUCUGCUGGAAAAGAAACUGCUGGAGCCCAGGCUGCAAUGGAAACAAUAAUAAGCUAGCUGUACAAACAUGCUCUUUGAAACACAGCUUGCCUUCGUUCAGGCUGCCAAUUUGAAGUCAUGGUAACGUCCUGCAAGAAGGCGGAUUGCACAGGAGAGAGAUGAACAAGGUGUGGCCACCCGCUGCACACACUGGAAAGGAGAACCUGAGAAGAGGGAUUUCCUGGGGUGAGCUUCUUCACACUGCACAAAGGGUCUGAAGGUGAGGACUGUGAGCAAAGGGAA